AAUAAUGGUGUGCAAAUUUACCAUCUUUCUCUCAAGUACCAUAAAAUAAUGAUAGGUUCAAACGGCGUUGUUAACGAAUGACUCGAGCUCACAUUGGGCUAUCAAUAAUUUGAAAAUUCAGAUAAGUCUAAUCCAACCUAUAAAAUGCCGAAUAGGAGUGAAAGAGAGACUAUUCUUGAACGGAUGCAAAGAAGAAACUUCGUAAUAGUUAACAGAAAAUUGAUGUUCUUCAUACCACUGAUAUUCUGGCUUCUUAUAAUCUUGGACGUCUUCAAAGCACAUUAUGUUAACCAAGUACUCAUAUUUUUCAAUUCUUUUGGCUACAUAAUCAGCCAUCCAUCAUUCGACUGUAUGGGGUUUUACGAAAAGAAAUGUAUAAUUUCAGAGAUGAAGAUGAUUGUCCAGUUCAUUGUACGUGCCAAUUGCUUCAUGAUCGUUCUCAAUCAUUUCAAUCUCGUUUCCUUUGGAUUUUCAGAUAUGGCACAGGUUUUUGGUCCAUCUGCCGAAUUAAUGUUGGAGUUAUGGUAUCAUAACGUUUGCUCGGAAGAAUCGCUGAGCAGAUAAAUGGUUUAACGACAAUUGAUCUUUGAUGACCACUUUUUUCGAAUCCCACAACAGUACUACGAUAACCAAACAUUCAUUUAACUGACAUUAUGGAUUUUCAAAUAUAUCUGUGAAAUAUGGCAGCCCUCUGCAUUAUUUCCCAUUGACUAAAACCCCAUUAUCCCGAGUAAAAGCAGUGGGGGAAACCAGCGACAUCUUUUGAGCAGGUGUGCAGGUCAUAACUGCGACGAAAUUUGUUUUAGAUCUUUAUCUCCAUGAGCUGCACACCUACUCAACAUGGAUCGCGGUUCGACCGCUUGCAUAUUGUAGGUGUUCCCGAAGAGUACAUAUAAAAUACUAUGUAAAUGUCUGGACACCUAUUUAGAUGCAAUACUAAUAAAGAGGUUUCCCGAU
ensembl:lincRNA linc-116 ncRNA